UACGUAGGUGGCAAGCGUUGUCCGGAAUUAUUGGGCGUAAAGCGCGCGCAGGUGGUUUCUUAAGUCUGAUGUGAAAGCCCACGGCUCAACCGUGGAGGGUCAUUGGAAACUGGGGAAUUUGAGUGCAGGAGAGAAGAGUGGAAUUCCACGUGUAGCGGUGAAAUGCGUAGAGAUGUGAAGGAACACCAGUGGCGAAGGCGACUUCCUGGCCUGUUCUUGACGCUGAGGCGCGAAAGCUAGGGUAGCAAACGGGG
rnacentral:rRNA from 1 species